GUGCCUCUGCGGUGUUCGUGAUUGAGUCGCGUACUUUCGGCGGACCCACAAUUACCUGCUGUGGAGACCUAUUUAAAAUCUGUCUGGGGCUUGCAAGCCCGUCCCCUUGUUCGCAAGGGACUGUAGCGGGAUCCAAAAGCCAGGCACGAGGUCUCCAUCUCAAAAAGCGGGUUCCCGGAAAGCGUUUCACACGGCACAGGUGGAGGUUUU
rnacentral:other from 1 species